rnacentral:rRNA from 1 species
AGGUGUGAUCAUACCAAUGUUACUGCAUCGGAUCCCAUCAGAACUCUGCAGUUAAGUGCGCUUGGGCUACAGUAGUACUGGGAUGGGUGACCUCCCGAGAAGUCCUAGUGUUGCACCCU